rnacentral:rRNA from 1 species
GAUUCUGGCUCAGGAUGAACGCUAGCUACAGGCUUAACACAUGCAAGUCGAGGGGCAGCAUGGUCUUAGCUUGCUAAGGCCGAUGGCGACCGGCGCACGGGUGAGUAACACGUAUCCAACCUGCCGUCUACUCUUGGACAGCCUUCUGAAAGGAAGAUUAAUACAAGAUAGCAUCAUGAGUUCACAUGUUCACAUGAUUAAAGGUAUUCCGGUAGACGAGGUGGG